CCUACGGGGGGCAGCAGUGGGGAAUAUUGGGCAAUGGGGGAAACCCUGACCCAGCAACGCCGCGUGAGGGAAGAAGGCUUUCGAGUUGUAAACCUCUGUCCUAUGGGAAGAAGAAAGUGACUGUACCAUAGGAGGAAGCUCCGGCUAACUACGUGCCAGCAGCCGCGGUAAUACGUAGGGAGCAAGCGUUGUCCGGAAUUACUGGGCGUAAAGGGUGCGUAGGCGGCGCAGUUAGUCAGAAGUGAAAUAUCGGGGCUUAACCCCGGGGCUGCUUCUGAUACUGCUGUGCUCGAGUGCAGGAGAGGUAAGUGGAAUUCCUAGUGUAGCGGUGAAAUGCGUAGAUAUUAGGAGGAACACCAGUGGCGAAGGCGACUUACUGGACUGUAACUGACGCUGAGGCACGAAAGCGUGGGUAGCAAACAGGAUUAGAUACCCUAG
rnacentral:rRNA from 1 species